rnacentral:rRNA from 1 species
UUGAUCUCAAAUCAGGUAGGACUACCCGCUGAACUUAAGCAUAUCAAUAAGCGGAGGAAAAGAAACUAACAAGGAUUCCCCUAGUAACUGCGAGUGAAGCGGGAAGAGCUCAAAUUUAAAAUCUGGCGUGCCUAUGGUCGUCCGAGUUGUAGUCUGGAGAAGUGUUUUCCGUGUUGGACCGUGUAUAAGUCUCUUGGAACAGGGCGUCAUAGAGGGUGAGAAUCCCGUCUUUGACACGGACUACCAAUGCUUUGUGAUGCGCUCUCAAAGAGUCGAGUUGUUUGGGAAUGCAGCUCAAAAUGGGGUGGUAAAUUCCAUCUAAAGCUAAAUAUAGGCGAGAGACCGAUAGCGAACAAGUACCGUGAGGGAAAGAUGAAAAGCACUU